rnacentral:misc_RNA from 1 species
AACUGCGAUAAGUAAUGUGAAUUGCAGAAUUCAGUGAAUCAUCGAGUCUUUGAACGCACAUUGCGCCCCCUGGCAUUCCGGGGGGCAUGCCUGUCCGAGCGUCAUUGCUGCCCUUCAAGCCCGGCUUGUGUGUUGGGUCGUCGUCCCCUCCGGGGGACGGGCCCGAAAGGCAGCGGCGGCACCGCGUCCGGUCCUCGAGCGUAUGGGGCUUUGUCACCCGCUCGAUAAGGACCGGCCGGGCGCCAGCCGGCGUCUCCAACCUUUUUUUCUCAGGUUGACCUCGGAUCAGGUAGGGAUACCCGCUGAACUUAAGCA